AAUAGAUACCCCGGUAGUCCACGCCGUAAACGAUGUCGACUUGAAGGUUGUUCCCUUGAGGAGUGGCUUCCGGAGCUAACGCGUUAAGUCGACCGCCUGGGGAGUACGGCCGCAAGGUUAAAACUCAAAUGAAUUGACGGGGGCCCGCACAAGCGGUGGAGCAUGUGGUUUAAUUCGAUGCAACGCGAAGAACCUUACCUACUCUUGACAUCCAGAGAACUUAGCAGAGAUGCUUUGGUGCCUUCGAGAACUCUGAGACAGGUGCUGCAUGGCUGUCGUCAGCUCGUGUUGUGAAAUGUUGGGUUAAGUCCCGCAACGAGCGCAACCCUUAUCCUUUGUUGCCAGCGGUCCGGCCGGGAACUCAAAGGAGACUGCCAGUGAUAAACUGGAGGAAGGUGGGGAUGACGUCAAGUCAUCAUGGCCCUUACGAGUAGGGCUACACACGUGCUACAAUGGCGCAUACAAAGAGAAGCGACCUUGCGAGAGCAAGCGGACCUCAUAAAGUGCGUCGUAGUCCGGA
rnacentral:rRNA from 1 species